rnacentral:tRNA from 3 species
GCGCCCUUAGCUCAGUUGGAUAGAGCAACGACCUUCUAAGUCGUGGGCCGCAGGUUCGAAUCCUGCAGGGUGCGCCA